UGAGUACGAGAUGCUACGGCGUCGAAGCAGUGUAUGUCAGACUUCCAAGAAAAGCUCGCAAUGUCAUAAAUAAAGAAUGCCUGUACCAUAACCGACACAGGUGGGUAGGUAGAGUAUACUAAGGGGCGCGAGAUAACUCUCUCUAAGGAACUCGGCAAAAUAACUCCGUAACUUCGGGAGAAGGAGUGCCUUCUUUUAGAAGGUUGCAAUAACAAGAUCCAAGCAACUGUUUAUCAAAAACACAGGUCUCCGCUAAGUCGUAAGACGAUGUAUGGGGGCUGACGCCUGCCCAGUGCCAGAAGGUUAAAGAAGCUGGUUAGCAAUAGCGAAGCUGGUGACUGAAGCCCUGGUGAACGGCGGCCGUAACUAUAACGGUCCUAAGGUAGCGAAAUUCCUUGUCGGGUAAGUUCCGACCCGCACGAAAGGCGUAAUGAUUUGGAUACUGUCUCGGAGAGGGACUCGGUGAAAUAGACUUGUCUGUGAAGAUGCGGACUACCUGCACCAGGACAGAAAGACCCUAUGAAGCUUUACUGUAACUUGAAAUUGAAAUUGGACUUUAUUUGCGCAGUAUAGGUGGAAGGCGUGGAGACUACUCUUGCAGGAGUAGUGGAGCCAUCAGUGAGAUACCACUCCUAUAAUGUUAGAUUUCUAACUUUGGAUCAUGAUCUGGUCAAAGAACAGUUUCAGGCGGGCAGUUUGACUGGGGCGGUCGCCUCCCAAAUGGUAACGGAGGCGUACAAAGGUUUCCUCUGAACGGGUAGAAAUCGUAUCUAGAGUGUAAAGGCAUAAGGAAGCUUGACUGUGAGACCUACAAGUCGAGCAGGGACGAAAGUCGGUCUUAGUGAUCUGACGGUGCUGAGUGGAAAGGCCGUCACUCAACGGAUAAAAGUUACUCUAGGAUAACAGGCUGAUCUCCCCCAAGAGUUCACAUCGACGGGGAGGUUUGGCACCUCGAUGUCGGCUCAUCGCAUCCUGGGGCGGUAGUACGUCCCAAGGGUUGGGCUGUUCGCCCAUGAAAGCGGUACGCGAGCUGGGUUCAGAACGUCGUGAGACAGUUCGGUCCAUAUCCGGUGUAGGCGUUAGAAUAUUGAGAGGAGCCUUCUUUAGUACGAGAGGACCGAGAAGGACAUACCUCUGGUGUACCAGUUAUCGUGCCAACGGUAAACGCUGGGUAGCUAUGUAUGGAGAGGAUAACCGCUGAAAGCAUCUAAGUGGGAAGCCCACCUCAAGAUGAG
rnacentral:rRNA from 1 species